rnacentral:rRNA from 1 species
UAAGUGAGACUGGGGAUCACUUUGGUCAUCCGCCGAUGAAGAGCGUGGCUAUCCGCGUGAACUGAUGCGAAUUGCAGGACUCAGUGAUAAUCGCAACCUCGAACGCACAAUGCGACCCCAGGAUCCCAUCGUCUCGGGGCGCCG